AGAUAGCUGGUUCUCCCCGAAAGCUAUUUAGGUAGCGCCUCGUGAAUUCAUCUCCGGGGGUAGAGCACUGUUUCGGCAAGGGGGUCAUCCCGACUUACCAACCCGAUGCAAACUGCGAAUACCGGAGAAUGUUAUCACGGGAGACACACGGCGGGUGCUAACGUCCGUCGUGAAGAGGGAAACAACCCAGACCGCCAGCUAAGGUCCCAAAGUCAUGGUUAAGUGGGAAACGAUGUGGGAAGGCCCAGACAGCCAGGAUGUUGGCUUAGAAGCAGCCAUCAUUUAAAGAAAGCGUAAUAGCUCACUGGUCGAGUCGGCCUGCGCGGAAGAUGUAACGGGGCUAAACCAUGCACCGAAGCUGCGGCAGCGACACUAUGUGUUGUUGGGUAGGGG
rnacentral:rRNA from 1 species